AUGUCUGUGUUAGAAAGGUAAACUGUAUCAGGGAUGCUGCUGGAACCCAAAUGCCCACUGCACAAAAGGAAAACCAAAGAACCAGGUGGGCAUCCUCACCAUCUGGCUUUUAGUCCGGAAAUAUCUGACCUUCUCUCCAGAGGGGUUCACACCUUUCUAGUCACUGCAGCCGCAAUCAAAGGCAGCUGUGUCACAGUGGUAGGCACUUGGGAACAGGUGGGAUAAAGAUGAGCUGAAAUCCUUUCCCUGAAUUCAGUCACAGAGCUGAUAAGAACAUCCAAGACUGCUGACUUUCCAGUUAGAAUCCUCCCUGCUGAGCAGCCUGGGCAUUUCAUUUCUCUUCUUUGUGUAUAACAAGCUAUGCUCCAGUUCAUACAAUGAGAAAUGCUCUGAGUACGACAUACAUUUGAAAUAAAAUCUCAGCUCUUAAUGGAACUCCCAGUAUGCCCUACAAUCUAGGAGACUGUAAUGGAGGAGUUUUUAUUUUUAGAAGAUCUUGUGCUGACUUUGUUUUAAUAUCUGAGUCCAUUUAUCCUGCUUUAAUGCUGAUUUAUCACUAAAAUGAGUGCUUGCUUUAUCAGCACUAGGAAUGAAAAAUAAUACACAUUGGGAGUGCAUAUAUUGUUCUUCUCACUCCCUCUCUGUAUUUCAGAUCAACAGAUACAGGGCAUUUGUUCUGAAAACCACCGUAAUUGGCUGGAAUAUGAAAACUGAAAUCUAUUUAAAUGGAUGUAGAGUGUAAGAAGGAUGGCAGAGAGACCAUGUGUAAUAAGGUCAGAGAAUGCCUCCGUGGAGUAUAGAUGCAAGAAGGGAUCUGACUGAUGAAGAAGAGGUUAAAGAGGUGAAGAGUGCAAAGUGGAAUGAAACAGGGAAUAAAGAGCACACUGGGAAAACCCUAAAUGCUCUUAACCACUGACAUUUGGAGUUAUCAACUUGAAUGCUGCAUAUCUAUGUCAAUAUCUCUCCAAAUUUCCAGAGUGCUUUUCUGUAUAACUUUAGCGCAAGCUUAUCUUCAGUUUUCUUGUCUAAUAAUACCUAAAAGGAUGUUUUAGGUUCUUCUCCAAUGAACUUCCAUCCACAUAACCGUAUAUACUUAUAAUACAGUACUAGGCAGACCAAAUACAGAAGGAUCUAUCAGGGUGGGAAUAUAAGGAUCCAGAAAACUCUGGGAUAGCGUCAUGACAGAGGAAAGAUGAUGCAAGCAGAACUUUUCUUUAACUAAAAUUGCUUUGCUGGGGUAGUAGAAGUUUAUUAACA